rnacentral:rRNA from 1 species
GAUGAACGCUGGCGGCGUGCCUAAUACAUGCAAGUCGAACGCUGGAAAUCUAGCUUGCUAGAUUGAAGGAGUGGCGAACGGGUGAGUAAUACAUAAGCAACCUACCCACGAAGACUGGGAUAAUCUCUGGAAACGGGGACUAAUACCGGAUAGGUAAUCGGAAGGCAUCUUCUGAUUAUUAAAGGUUAAAAACACUGGUGGAUGGGCUUAUGGCGCAUUAGUUAGUUGGUGAGGUAACGGCCCACCAAGACGAUGAUGCGUAGCCGGCCUGAGAGGGUGAACGGCCACAUUGGGACUGAGACACGGCCCAGACUCCUACGGGAGGCAGCAGUAGGGAAUUUUCGGCAAUGGGGGAAACCCUGACCGAGCAACGCCGCGUGAGUGAUGACGGCCUUCGGGUUGUAAAGUUCUGUUGUAAGGGAAGAACGGUAGAUAGAGAAUAUCUAAAUGACGGUACCUUACCAGAAAGCCACGGCUAACUACGUG